UAGAGUUUGAUCAUGGCUCAGGAUAAACGCUGGCGGCGUGCCUUACGCAUGCAAGUCGAACGAUUAUGAUUUAUCAUUUUAGUGGCAAACGGGUGAGUAACACGUAAGUAACCUGCCUCUAAGCAGGGGAUAACUCCGGGAAACCGGGGCUAAUACCGUAUGUAAUAGCAGAGGUAAUGCACUGCUAUUAAAGCCUUCGGGCACUUAGGGAGGGGCUUGCGUCCGAUUAGCUAGUUGGUGGGGUAACGGUUCACCAAGGCAGUGAUCGGUAGCUGGUCUGAGAGGACGGUCAGCCACACUGGGACUGAGACACGGCCCAGACUCCUACGGGAGGCAGCAGCGAGGAAUUUUAGUCAAUGGGCGAAAGCCUGAACUAGCGACGCCGCGUGGGGGAUGAAGGUUUUCGGAUCGUAAACCCCUUUUAUCAGGGAGGAAUAAUGACAGUACCUGAUGAAUAAGCCAUGGCUAACUACGUGCCAGCAGCCGCGGUAAUA
rnacentral:rRNA from 1 species